UACGGAGGGUGCGAGCGUUAAUCGGAAUUACUGGGCGUAAAGGGUGCGUAGGUGGUUGAUUAAGUUAUCUGUGAAAUUCCUGGGCUCAACCUAGGGUGGUCAGAUAAUACUGGUUGACUUGAGUAUGGUAGAGGGUAGUGGAAUUUCCGGUGUAGCGGUGAAAUGCGUAGAUAUCGGAAAGAACACCGGUGGCGAAGGCGGCUACCUGGACUAAUACUGACACUGAGGCACGAAAGCGUGGGGAGCAAACAGG
rnacentral:rRNA from 1 species